AAUUUGGCCGGAAAACGAAUCUGACAUGCCACCUCGAGAUUUUAACCAAGGAAAGACAAGUUGAUGUGCUUUGAUUUGAGGGGUUACUCACUACCGAACAAAAAUUAGGGACAUCGCUAUGAGAAGAAACGUUAACAUUGUCGCCUAUGGGAAAACAAUUAGUGGACUGUACCCAUAUUAGGAAGCCUAUAAGUUCAUGGUGAUUGGUACAGGAAAAACAUGAUGUCCAUGCAGAUGGUGUUUAAAACUAUUGGCCAGCAAAUGCACACCCAUUUGAAUACAUCUUGAAAAAGAACCAGCAAAAUGUGACAGUCGGCAAAAUAUAGGUUCCCGCAGAUAGACGCAUUUUGCCGGAAAACGAAUCUGACGUGCCACCUCGAUAUUUUAACCAAGGAAAGACAAGUUGAUGUGCUUUAAUUUGAGGGGUCACUCAAUUCUGAACGAA